GAUGAACGCUGGCGGCGUGCCUAAUACAUGCAAGUCGAGCGAACAGACGAGAGUGCUUGCACUCUCUGACGUUAGCGGCGGACGGGUGAGUAACACGUGGGUAACCUACCUAUAAGACUGGGAUAACUUCGGGAAACCGGAGCUAAUACCGGAUAAUAUUUAGCUUCGCAUGAAGCAAUAGUGAAAGACGGUUCUGCUGUCACUUAUAGAUGGACCCGCGGUGUAUUAGCUAGUUGGUGAGGUAACGGCUCACCAAGGCAACGAUACAUAGCCGACCUGAGAGGGUGAUCGGCCACACUGGGACUGAGACACGGACCAGACUCCUACGGGAGGCAGCAGUAGGGAAUCUUCCGCAAUGGACGAAAGUCUGACGGAGCAAUGCCGCGUGAGUGAAGAAGGUUUUCGGAUCGUAAAACUCUGUUGUAAGGGAAGAACAAGUACGUUAGUAACUGAACGUACCUUGACGGUACCUUACCAGAAAGCCACGGCUAACUACGUG
rnacentral:rRNA from 1 species